GGAUGAAUCACAUCUCCGUACACAGGAUAUAAAACUGGCUCCGGAGUUCUACAGCCACAGGAAGCGCAGAGACUGCAGGGGAGGAGAAUUGCUUCCCUGGCUCCUGCAGCUUGGACAUCAGCAUGAAGCAAUCAGGAGGGUAAUCAAGGAGAAAGGAAAUAAUCUUUCUGGCCCCACCAGCAACUACUUACAGUGGAAAGCAACAGCGGGAAGCCAUUAAUAGGUGGUUGUUGAUGGUGUUAUCAAAAUGUAUUAGUAAGAGAAAGGCUAAAAGCUGUCCACUGAUCUUUUUAUGAUGACUCUAUGACAAAAAAGCUUCCAAACCAUUCAGAGAACACUGAACUCCCUACCUACCUUUACAGGUAUUUCUUUCCCACUGUCUUUGGGAGCAGGAAGCUCCAAGUGGUAAAAACCCCAAGUACACAAAAGCAGGAGUACUGAAGGAAUGUUAGAAGGGCAGAGUGACUGAUGCUGUCAUCUGAUGGAUUCAUUGCCCAGAUUGAUGCGUUUAUAUAAAAACCUGCAGUGCUGUUCACAGACCCUCAGUGGUGCACCAGUGGAAUUCGUGAGAUAGCAGCUGGGACAAUCACUUCCAGUUCAAUAAAUCUUUGUUUUCCUUUGCUUUGCUAAGUUGCAAAAAGUCAUUGGUUCAAGGUCAAUUUCUGUGUGCUUCUUAAA